rnacentral:rRNA from 1 species
AACAGGAUUAGAUACCCUGGUAGUCCACGCUGUAAACGAUGUCGACUUGGAGGUUGUGCCCUUGAGGCGUGGCUUCCGGAGCUAACGCGUUAAGUCGACCGCCUGGGGAGUACGGCCGCAAGGUUAAAACUCAAAUGAAUUGACGGGGGCCCGCACAAGCGGUGGAGCAUGUGGUUUAAUUCGAUGCAACGCGAAGAACCUUACCUACUCUUGACAUCCAGAGAAUUUGCUAGAGAUAGCUUAGUGCCUUCGGGAACUCUGAGACAGGUGCUGCAUGGCUGUCGUCAGCUCGUGUUGUGAAAUGUUGGGUUAAGUCCCGCAACGAGCGCAACCCUUAUCCUUUGUUGCCAGCGAGUAAUGUCGGGAACUCAAAGGAGACUGCCGGUGAUAAACCGGAGGAAGGUGGGGAUGGCGUCAAGUCAUCAUGGCCCUUACGAGUAGGGCUACACACGUGCUACAAUGGCAUAUACAAAGAGAAGCGAACUCGCGAGAGCAAGCGGACCUCAUAAAGUAUGUCGUAGUCCGGAUUGGAGUCUGCAACUCGACUCCAUGAAGUCGGAAUCGCUAGUAAUCGUAGAUCAGAAUGCUACGGUGAAUACGUUCCCGGGCCUUGUACACACCGCCCGUCACACCAUGGGAGUGGGUUGCAAAAGAAGUAGGUAGCUUAACCUUCGGGAGGGCGCUUACCACUUUGUGAUUCAUGACUGGGGUGAAGUCGUAACAAGGUAACCA